GAUGAAGAACGCAGCGAAAUGCGAUAAGUAAUGUGAAUUGCAGAAUUCAGUGAGUCAUCGAAUCUUUGAACGCACAUUGCGCCCGCCAGUAUUCUGGCGGGCAUGCCUGUUCGAGCGUCAUUUCAACCAUCAAGCCCCAGGCUUGUGUUGGAGCCCUGCGGCUGCCGCAGCCUCCCAAAACCAGUGGCGGGCUCGCUAUCACACCGAGUGCAGUAGUUUACUCUUCGCUCAGGGCGUGUGGCGGGUGCUAGCCGUAAAACCCCCAACUUCUCAAGGUUGACCUCGGAUCAGGUAGGAAUACCCGCUGAACUUAAGCAUAUCAAUAAGCGGAGGA
rnacentral:misc_RNA from 1 species